AUGCAUUAGAAAUGCAAGAUACUGUAAAUUAAAUUUAUACUGCAUCUUUGAAUUGAUGGUAGGCACAGAAAAAGACCAGAUUUUGAGGAGUUUUUCUGUUUUCUUUUUCUUCUUUUUUUCUUUUUUCUUUUCUUUUUUUUUUCUUUUUUUUUUCUUUUUCUUUUUUUUUUUGGCUCAUAUUUCUUAUUUUUGCAUCAUGGGUCUCUUUUUCCUGUAUCUUGUAACCAAGUCACAUAGACUCUGGGAAUGUAAUAUGUGUUUAUUUCCAUCCAGACUCUCUUAUACAAGUCAUAUUUAAUUUGCUUCAAUUUUCUGUAGUCUGCAACAUAAGUUGAAAGAUUCUCUGAACUCUUCAAUAAGGGUUCUAUCUGUCACUACUCACAUUAAAUUAAUUGUAGACAAUUCAAGCAGAAAACUGAAGCAAAGCAAGAGCAAAUUUUGAUUUUCUUAAGCUAUGUCCUUUGUGGGUCGCAACGGCUGCUUAUUAAGCAAUAGCUGCUCAUUAGUACUCGAUGCCGCUAUGCAAGAAUAGCUAUUGCACCUGCGCGCAUGACCGAACGAACCUGGAAGUUCCGAAAGUUGGGAAAGUACCGAUGCGGUCAAAGAAGAAUGUAGAAGACAGAAGAACCGACCAGAAGGAGGGCGGGCAGCCCAUGACACAGAGCCUCGUGCACAGUGCGUGACCAAGGCUGUGAUUGGACGCGGAGCCUCGUGCACAGCGCGUGACUGAGGCUGUGAUUGGACAGAAGUUACGAAACCAGCGUGUGUCGUGGGUGCAGCUGGGUGUACAGGUACAAUAGCAGGAGUGUCCUGGGGAAUAAACGAGAUCUGCUUCCACCGCAUUGCUGACUGAGAGACUCUGUCCAAGCAAGCACAGACAGCCUUGGGUCAGGAGGAUGGACAGCCACAGGAGGAGACAGCAACAGUCCUUCAUUUCUCUUCUGUUUCUUACUUGUUUUCUUGCUGUCCUCAAAAUACUUCUGCUGAAAUUUUCCAAUAUGCCAACAGAAAAGCAGUGCUUGGGCUUUCCAGUUACAGUUUCCUGGUGCCAUUUCCUCACAAUCAACAACCAGGAGAUCAACAUCUUUUAUAGAAUAUUAUUUUAUUUCUGUGAUGGUAAUCAAGUUGUCUCUCAUUCUUCUUUCUUAUGGACCAAACAGACUGCUCUCUGAAACACGAUAAAGAUGGAAUGCACAGCGUGAGCAUGGUGCAGAGGUAACAGUAAUGAGAAAGAGAGGCGCAGCCACAGGGUGCAUAUGUGGGCUGCAGGCGGUGGAGGGAAGAGCUGACAAAAACUGCACAGGUUAAUCACAUGUGUUGGGAAACAGAAAGCCAACUAACUAUGCCCCUGUAAGAUGCAUAGACAGUGUUUGGUUCACAAUGGUUUCACGGAGGAAGAGGCAAGAAGCAUAGCUUGGGAGAGAUGCCCAGUAUUAUGGAUCAAUUAACACUGUGUGUAAGUCUUAACAGUAGAUGCCAAGGAUCUUAGGUCUUGUUUUACUACAGUGGUAAGUAAGGGAAAAAUAGAAUGGACAAAAUGGGAGUGAUUAAAGUGAAGCACUGGAGAAUGUAAUAGACGUUGGCUUCUGUAUGCAUUUCAGAAGCCAAGCUGCUGCUACAUAACAGGUGCUAAUAAUUAUAUGGUGAAAGAGGCUAACAGUGCUCCUCAAUCACCAGUAAGAACACUGAUGGCCAUUAAAGACAUAACCCUGGUUAGUAAGAGAAAUACCAUGUCCAGGAGUCAGCAGAGUCAAAAGAGGAGUUUAAAUUUAUUUUGCUCUCAGCAACAUGACUAGAGAAGGGUAGUUAAGUAUGAGUUACGGCUUCAUUCCAUGUACUACAGCCUGUAGCAGUGGAUAUUCUAAUAAACUUCACUAGGAAGAAAAUAAAAUGAAUUUU
ensembl:lncRNA